rnacentral:rRNA from 1 species
AAUAGCUUUAGGGCUAGCCUCAAGUGAUGAUUAUUGGAGGUAGAGCACUGUUUGGACGAGGGGCCCCUCUCGGGUUACCGAAUUCAGACAAACUCCGAAUGCCAAUUAAUUUAACUUGGGAGUCAGAACAUGGGUGAUAAGGUCCGUGUUCGAAAGGGAAACAGCCCAGACCACCAGCUAAGGUCCCAAAAUAUAUGUUAAGUGGAAAAGGAUGUGGCGUUGCCCAGACAACUAGGAUGUUGGCUUAGAAGCAGCCAUCAUUUAAAGAGUGCGUAAUAGCUCACUAGUCGAGUGACACUGCGCCGAAAAUGUACCGGGGCUAAACAUAUUACCGAAGCUGUGGAUUGUCCUUUGGACAAU